UAAGACGAACCGUGCGAACGUUGUUCGGAAUCACUGGGCUUAAAGGGCGCGUAGGCGGGUGACCAAGUCCGGGGUGAAAUCUUUCGGCUUAACCGGAAAAGUGCCUUGGAUACUGGUCGCCUGGAGGGAGGUAGGGGCAUGUGGAACUUCCGGUGGAGCGGUGAAAUGCGUUGAUAUCGGAAGGAACGCCGGUGGCGAAAGCGACGUGCUGGCCCUCUUCUGACGCUGAGGCGCGAAAGCCAGGGGAGCGAACGGGAUUAGAUACCCCGGUAGUCCUGGCCCUAAACGAUGGGGACUAGGUAGUGGACUUGACAUGGGUUCACUGCCGAAGCAAAAGUGUUAAGUCCCCCGCCUGGGGAGUAUGGUCGCAAGGCUG
rnacentral:rRNA from 1 species